GCCAGCCGCCGCGGUAAUUCCAGCUCCAAUAGCGUAUAUUAAAGUUGUUGUGGUUAAAAAGCUCGUAGUUGGAUCUCGGCGGUCUGAGGGCGGUUCGCUUGAUUGAGUGCUACUGCUCUAUAGGCCGUGGUUUUGCCAGAGGUCUCGGGGUGCUCUUAACCGAGUGUCCUGCGAUGCUGGCAGGUUUACUUUGAAAAAAUUAGAGUGCUCAAAGCAGGCUUUUACGCCUGAAUAUUCGUGCAUGGAAUAAUAGAAUAGGAAGUCGUUUCUAUUUUGUUGGUUUUCGGAAAUCGACUUAAUGAUUAAUAGGGACAGUCGGGGGCAUUUGUAUUCAAACGACAGAGGUGAAAUUCUUGGACCGUUUGAAGACAAACUACUGCGAAAGCAUUUGCCAAGAAUGUUUUCAUUAAUCAAGAACGAAAGUUAGAGGUUCGAAGGCGAUUAGAUACCGCCCUAGUUCUAACCAUAAACGAUGCCAGCUAGCGAUCUGCCGACGUUUUCUUUGUAGACUCGGCAGGAAGCUUCCGGGAAACCAAAGCAUUUGGGUUCCAGGGGAAGUAUGGUUGCAAAGCUGAAACUUAAAGGAAUUGACGGAAGGGCACCACCAGGAGUGGAGCCUGUGGCUUAAUUUGACUCAACACGGGAAAUCUCACCAGGCCCGGACACUGGAAGGAUUGACAGAUUGAUAGCUCUUUCUUGAUUCGGGGUGGGGUUGGUGGGUGCAUGGCCGUUUCUUAGUUUGGGUGGGAGGUGAUUUGGUCCUGGGUUAAUU
rnacentral:rRNA from 1 species